GAUAUCUUCAGGAGCAGAUGCACUGAGCUUGAAUUACUAUGAGAAAACAUGCCCUGAUGUCGAUUCCAUUGUUACGAAUGCUGUCAAUCAUGCAAUGAUGAAAGACAAAACGGUCCCCGCAGCGCUACUCCGGAUGCAUUUCCAUGACUGUUUCAUAAGAGUAGAGAUUAACAUUUCAUAUUUUUCUUCUAUCAUUUUCCUGCUCGUUGUUUGUUCCUAACUUGGAUGUUUGCAUCUUGUUUCAGGGCUGUGAUGCUUCUGUUCUGCUAAAUUCGAAAGGGAACAACAAAGCAGAGAAAGAUGGCCCACCUAACAUCUCUUUGCAUGCGUUUUAUGUCAUUGACAACGCAAAGAAAGAAGUGGAAGCUUCAUGCCCAGGAGUGGUAUCAUGCGCUGAUAUCUUGGCUUUAGCUGCAAGAGAUGCAGUUGUACUUGU
rnacentral:lncRNA from 1 species